GUCUACAGCCGUACCACCAUGAACAUGUCCAGUCUUGUCUGAUCUCAGAAACUAAGCAGGGUUGAGCCUGGUUCGUAUGUGGAUGGGAGAAACCUAUGUACCUGUUGACA
rnacentral:rRNA from 1 species